rnacentral:rRNA from 1 species
AGCGAACGCUGGCGGCGUGCCUAACACAUGCAAGUCGAACGUGAAAGGGAGCAAUCCCAAGUAAAGUGGCGUACGGGUGAGUAACACGUAGGUAAUCUACCCCAGAAUCUGGAAUAACCGGCCGAAAGACUGGCUAAUACUGGAUAGAGCGACGGAAUCCGUAAUUGGGUUUUUCGGGAAAGGGAGCCUGUAAAAAGGCCUUCGUUCUGGGAUGAGCCUGCGUCCCAUCAGCUAGUUGGUGAGGUAAAAGCUUACCAAGGCAAUGACGGGUAGCUGGUCUGAGAGGACGAUCAGCCACACUGGAACUGAAACACGGUCCAGACUCCUACGGGAGGCAGCAGUGGGGAAUCUUGCGCAAUGGACGAAAGUCUGACGCAGCAACGCCGCGUGAGUGAAGAAGGCCUUCGGGUUGUAAAGCUCUGUCGAGUGGGACGAAAAUGCUUGGAGUUCACAGCUCCAGGAACUGACGGUACCACUAAAGGAAGCACCGGCUAACUCCGUG